rnacentral:rRNA from 1 species
UACGUAGGGGGCAAGGCGUUGUCCGGAUUUAUUGGGCGUAAAGAGCGUGUAGGCGGCUAGGUAGGUCCGUUGUGAAAACUCGAGGCUCAACCUCGAGACGUCGAUGGAAACCAUCUAGCUAGAGUCCGGAAGAGGAGAGUGGAAUUCCUGGUGUAGCGGUGAAAUGCGCAGAUAUCAGGAAGAAUAUCCGUGGCGAAGGCGGCUCUCUGGGACGGUACUGACGCUGAGACGCGAAAAGCGUGGGGAGCGAACAGG